GUUUUGGCGAUACUGUUUAUCACUUUCGCAUGACUUAGUACACAACGAGUUGGAUGUUUGGAUCGGUCUUGCCCAACUAACCAAUCGGUCCAACUGGUUUUCAGCUAACCAAUCGGCGCGCACUGAAAGUGAUACCUACUACACCGUCGAAGCGGCUCAGUGGCCUGCCUGAAGCAGCUGCUGUCACUUCAAGCUCAGCAUGGAUACUUUCAUCAAGUCUUUCGUGGUGUGUGCCUGCUUCAGUUUUCUCCUCAGUCUGGCACAUGCUUUUGAUGAUGAAUUUGAAAAGAAAUGGAAAAAACACAGGACUGCGUUGCCUCCUGCAACAAUCUUCAUAAUCUUUGUUGCGGUGACGGUUGCAGCGGGUUGUAUCAGCAUAUUGUGUGCCUGCCUUCGACGACAACACAGUCUGUAUAAUGCCAGUCCCCGCAUUCCACCUCCGCUGGCGCCGGCUGCCCCUGUUGUGACAUCGGGGGCAAGGAUGCACUCUCCCCUUGAAGCAUAUCCCCUAGUUUCGGGAGGAGCACCAUCACCUCCAGCCAUGUCAUAUCCCCAACAGACUUACCACCCCCAGCCAACUGCACCAUUCCCACAGGAAGGCCCCUGCAUGGGUGACUAUGCAGCACCACUGGUACAACCGUCUGCUGCACCGUUGCCAUCGCCAUAUGCACCAUUCGAUCCACCACCACCUUAUGUCAGUCCCCCUGCAGUGAAUUUCACAAAAUCGUAGAUAAGCUAGCACAGCCGUGAAUGGUGAUCGCACAUGUGUUGACUCGCUGCGGUGGCUGAGUGGCUGUGGCAUUCUCUCGCUGAGCAUGAGGUCGUGGGUUCGAGUCCUGGCCACAUUCUAAUGAGGGCGGAGUGAAAAAGCAGUUGUGUACUUAGACUUUUGCACAUGCAGGAGAACCCCAGGUGGUUGAAAUCAAUUCAGAGGUUGCUUCUGGUGUUUCAGAGCUUGUUACCGCAUAAACACGGGAAGAAUUAUGCCAAACACCACUCUAUUGCAUGGCCUGUUGCAUUUCCAUUUCCUCUAUAGACGCAGGAAAGAAUUCAACAAUGCCAGUGUUUGUGUAUAGAAUGUAGUGUAAAAAAGAGCACCAUGUAUGCAAAACCAUGACGGCUGAAUGGCUGGUUUGCUUGCACUCUGGUUUCUACCAGAGGUGGCAUUUUGCAGUGAAUGCACCGCAUAAGCGAUGUGUACCUCUUACUCAUCCCGACUAAAAUGGAGAAGUAAUGCAGCCAAUAGUGGCUCCCAGCGCAUCCACCACGGAGUGCCAACUACUAUAUAUGAGAAGUCGGAGUGUGACAAAGCCAAUGGUUAAGCUGCAAAAGUUAUGCAUACCUAUCACUUUGGCACUGUAAUGAAUGCUCCCUACACAGAGGUCUCUAGCUCAAGCGUGCACCAUCAACCUGCCACUGUCCUGUGCUUACACUGCAGCCUGCUCCAUGGGAGGCCAGCUUGCACAUGUGAAGCCUACUCUCAGCUCACCACCUCCUUCUUUUUUUUUUUCUUUGACUUGCACUCUAUUUUUGUACAGGAGUAAUCAAUAGAAUACACUUGACUCUUAUUUCAUCCGAAGUUCUAUUGUUCUUGUUUUUAUUGUUCAAAGGUAGAUAAUAGAGGAGGGCAGGCUGUGGGUUUUUUAACUGUCUCACCUGUCGACAUAUAGGCACUUACCUGAACAUAGAGGCACUUAUCUGAAUACACUCAAUUAAACAGAUGCCAAAGUAUCUUGCAUACAUGUUUAUUAUGCAAAUCUGCAUAACGUGUACAUAUACCGUAUAUAAAAGAUGUGCACGGAUGCACAUUGUGCAGUCUGGUGCCCAAUGUUGUGAUGUGCGCUGCCAGGGCCUGCACGCUUCUCCAGGAGUAGCGUCGCCAAAGUAGUGCAAGCUUUCUCACAAAUCCACGCUGCACCCUUGGAGAAGAGUAGCACUGUCUCGGUGUUGGAGGCAAGGCUCCGACUCCUGAAGUUGGACAGUAGCUGGUGGCAUGCAGUGGGGCACAUGCUCUGCAUUGAAAGAGCUGGUGCUUGAGAGUCUUGGGUGCAGUGCAGUUGGUGCCAGUGGUCGGCACCGACUGUUGUGCUUGCACACAGCUUGCAUAUUUAAAAAUUUUGGUGUGCAUUUUUACGGGUCCUUGUUACAGAUCUGUAGGUUCCCGAGAGUUCUGUGCCACGAGUGGUGAAGCCUUGCAUCCUCUUUGCACAAAAUUCUUACUGAUAUUAAUCAGAACUGAUUCUGCAUUGAAAGAGCCGGUGCUUGAGAGUUCGGGUGCAAGUGCAGUCGGUGCCAGUGGUCGGCACCGACUGUUGCGCUCGCACACAGCUUGCAUUUUUAAAAUUUUUGUGUGCGUUUUUACAGGUCCUUGUUACGGAUCUGUAGGUUCCUGAGAGUUCUGUGCCACGAGUGGUGAAGCCUUGUAUCCUCUUUGCACGAAAUUCUUACUGAUAUUAAUCAGAACUGAUUCUGCAUUGAAAGAGCCGGUGCUUGAGAGUCUCAUGUGCAAGUGCAGUCAGUGCCAGUGGUCGGCACCGACUGUUGUGCUUGCACACAGCUUGUAUUUAAAAAAUUUUUGUGUGCAUUUUUAUGGGUCCUUGUUACGGAUCAGUAGGUUCCCGAGAGUUCUGUGCCACGAGUGGUGAAGCCUUGCGUCCUCUUUGCAUUAAAUUCUUGCUGAUAUUAAUCAGAACUGGUGCUGUUGCACAAGAAGCAAAAGCUUGCUUAGUGCAAUGCACACAUUUCAAGGUUGAAUUUGCAGGCAAAGUGCAAUAAAAUGCUGGCAGUGUUAUAAUAUUGCGAAUUGUGAAGUUAGAAAGAAUUUUGCUAACUUUGUUUAGAAAUUGAAGGACGGUGAAUGUUUGUUACAACUUUUCGGUAGACCUAACUCUGUGCUCUUGUUACUUUAUUGCACAAUGGAAUCUCUUAAGUUUCCUAGGUGGCCAGUCUGGGGAUAGUUAGAAGAUAGUUAUUAUUUUGUUCACUUGCAAAAGAACAGUAUGGCAUUCACUCCGCUGUUUCUUGUAUUUACUUUAGUGCAGUCCUGUAUAAUAACCUAAUGUAGUAUAUAUAAUAUCUAAAUGUAUGGCGCAGAUUUUAAAGGUCAACUUUCUCCUUAUGUUUCUGAUCACUGCACCAUUUGCAUUUGCCACGCCGCAUAGCUAGGCAAACAAAAACGCCCCUGCUGCUAUGCAAUCAAAUACUUGUUUCUCUUGCGGUUGUGAUCAGGAGCGCUUCUCCGCUGGAGCUUCCUCCAUGUCAUGCUGUCAGAACUGCGACUUGUGAAAGUGAGCACCUCUCUGGUGAAAGCAGCUUCAGUAAAAUUUUAAAGUUGAUAGUCAUAUUUGUGUACUACAUCAUGCCUGAGAUUUCGCUUUUUAUUACCCAUUUCAUUCCUCUACUUCCAUUUAUAGUAGUAGUAGUAGUAGUAAUAAUAAUAAUAAUAUUAAUAAUAAUAAUAAUAAUGAUAAGAGCCUAUAUUGCCAAAAAAUAUAUAUGCAAAGGAAUAGCCAGCCUGCAUAAGCCAAAGCCUUGUGUGCAGGCUGGGCAGUCUCAUUGAUCUAUGUUCGAGCUACGAGCAAUAAAAUCUUCCUAAACAAAGCCUAAGGUAAAAGGACAAACUACAAGAUAGAAAGAAGACAUGUUCUCAGAGAAACAUUGCACAUUUAUAACAGUACACACAUAAUACUGGACAAAAUGAAUACGUUUAGUAGCCGAAUUUUCAUUUGUUACAAACGUUCUGUAUCUGUAACCCAUUUAACCUGUGAAAAUGUUUGGCCAUAGAUACCAGUAUCACUGGGUGGCUUUACAUUUUUCCACUGUUGAGCGCUAUGGAAUAGAAAACAGAAACAACACUACACAGGAUGAGUGAGUAAAGAGCACAGGACAAAGCGCUGACAAGCAACCAAAUGCUUUAUUUGCGGAAGCAGCAUAUAAAGACAUCAUUGAAGGUGACAUAAAGAAAAGAAAAAGAAGGAUAAGCAUUAGCCACGGAGAUAAUCCUGUUUGUUUGUUGAUAGUGUGAGGGAUGCAGAACUGACGCAUGCGUCGCCACUUGUGAAUACGCAAAAUGCCUCAAAGAUAUUCACAGAUAUUCGCAUAGUCACAGAUACUUGCAUAUUCACGAGUGGCAGCACAUGCAUCAGUUCUGCAUCUCUCAUGCUAUCAACAAAAGAACUGUAUUAUCUCCGUGGCUAACGCUUAUCCUUCUUUUUCUGUUAUUUAUGUCACCUUCAGUGAUGCCUUUAUAUGCUGCUUCUGCAAAUAAAGCAUUUGGUUGCUAGCCAGCGCUCUGUCAUGUGUUCUUUACUUGCUCAUCCUGUGUCGCACUGUUUUCGUUUUUUAUUGCAAAGAUGAACCAACCAGCCCCUUUGAACACACUGUUGAGCACUAUGUCUAUCUGUUGUUUAGUUUUUACACUACGAGUGAUAUGACUUUGUGCAGAACCAAGAGGCCACAAUGCAAAACCAGUUUUAACUGAUGUGUGCUAGUGAUUUUUGAGUUCUUGCGCAUUUACUCAUUGUCACUAUCUAGUCACCUUAUAAGACAAAGCACUAAUUUCAUAUUAGAAUAAGGGUAUCUGAGGGGCCCAAUAUUUUGUUUGUCACAGUCAUACUUCUGUGAAGUUUCAUUACAAUAUACUGUGCAAAUUAGUAAUUUAGGUAUAACAUAUAGCAUAUGCUGUACUGUCAUGCCAGUGAGUGAAUGAGUGCGAAAUGAAGGUUUUUUUUUUUAACUUUAAACAAUGCGAUUCAUCAUUCACAGUAAAAAAUGACUGUUUCUCAAUGAGUGUGGUUCUGUGAAACCGCUACUACUGCCAAAGUUUGUUCCCUACACAUCUUGUGUAUUGAAAGCAGUAUUUUUCUGGAAUCCUUUGGAUUUUUAUCUCUUACAAUGGCGAGAUGUGAUAAAUACAACAGUUAAGUGCUCUGAGGCAAAAGGAAUAAGUAGAAAGACACAACACACAAUUUUGCAUUCCUUAUUUGUCCUCAUUUUAAUGCUCUCUAUGUGGUACACUGAAUGACUACUGUGUUUAGAAGCACUAUAUUUUUUAAUAGCAUACAUUUCACUUUAUACAGAGAUGCAAAUGGCAGUAUAAGAGGAUUAGGGGUUACAUAUGAUUAAGCUUCAGGGUUGAAAGGACAGCUUUGCAUUUGUCACUUGAUAAACCAAGCUCUGAUAGCUGUCUAAUCUGCCCUGACUGUUGUGUGCUGACUGGAAGGCACCUUCCUUGUAAGAAUAAUUAAUCUCAGCACAAAGAAAUCCACCUUUCAAUGGAGGUUUUCAUUGCAAACAUUCCAAAAUAAUUCUGAAAGUCUUUGAGUGCUCCGAGUUUGCCAAAAUAAUGUGAUCCACUGGCAACAGCCACGACUCAGCUAGAUUGUGCUCUCGAACUUGAACUGAAUCUAAGCACAGCAACAUUGCAGUGAGAAUCGCAGGCAUUAUAUCAUCAGGGACCACAUUCUAAAUUGAUCGCUUUGACAUGCAUUACUUUUGGUAUUCAUUGAUUAGCUGAGCCAGCAAACGGUGCUCAUCACUAGAGUGCGGAAUCAUGCUGCUGCAUCAGACAAUGUUGAAAGUAACCCUGCAAGUGAAUGACUUCUACGCUGUCCCAUUACUGUUAUUACACAGUGACACAAAACCGUCUACCCCAUGUUGAUCAGCUAAAAAAAAAUUAAGUCCUUCCUUUAUAGUUUUGAGUUUGGUACACAGCAAGAACCACUUGCACCUUUUAUGCCUCCCGACUUGGAUAUAUUUGUCCAAACUAUUCUGUACUUUAUUUACACUGCCUAGUUAGCUAGCAUAUCAAUUGAUUGAAAGUCCUAUAUUGUUUAAGAGUUGGCAUAGAAGGCCACUGCGAGGGAAGGAGGAGGUGUCAGACUGCACAUCAUUCACCCUUCUUCAGGAUAGUGUCUUGGUCCAGCCUAUCCAUUAUAGUAUAAUUCACAUGUGCUUCCUGCCACAGUUAAUCAGUGGCCAUAGCAUUCUGCUGCUGGAUGCUGCUGCUGUUGCGGGUUCAAUCCAAGGCCACGGCAGACACAUUUAGAAGGAGGCAGAAUGCAAAAGUGCUCCUGUUGUGUUGCCUUGGGUGCACAUUAAAAAAAAAACAAAAAAACACUGUUGGUCAAAAUAAUUUGAUGCACUCCACUAUAGUGUUCAAUAGUCUGCGAGUCACCUGGGAUAUUAAACUGCAAAAUUUAAUUUAUUUUUAACAACGGGGCUUGUAAUGUUUAUGCAAGUUGUCAUUUGCUGCGUUUUCAGUUCCAGUGUCACUGGUGCAAAGAGUUACUGUGGCACUUAAGUUAAAUCCACCAUUUGUUACAAUGAGUCUCCUGCAGUUUUUACAUUGACUACCGUUUGCAUUAAAAAAGACCGUGUUUGUCACAUGCAGAUAGCUUUAGUGUGGAACUUUGUUCCCUGACCUUCUUGUUGAAGUGUUCGUCUACAACUUACAUAUGCAAGCUUUAAACUGACGUGCACACCUCGCUUCACACUGCCAAUGCAUGGUGUACAGACUGUGCCUUUUUGGCUCCUCAAGGACUGUUGUUUUAUGCUCUCCAUGUUCUGAAUGUGUUUGCAGAUCUUCUCCGUGUUCAUAUUUACGCCGUGAAUGUGUCUGCAGGUGUGAGGUCUCAUAGCAUUUGUUUGUUUGUAGGUGUGAAGUGUUUAAUUUGCUGCACCCGAGUGAACAUUUCUCGCCCUCGUUAUGCUUGGGCUUUCAGGAUAAAUGUGUAUACAUCAGUCUCUUACAGGUGCCUUCUUUUAUACUGUGAUAUGCUGAACAAUCACAUUAUGUCUGCUCUGUGUCACAAUCUGUGUUGACCUUUGCAAUGUAUUCCCAUCUUCACUUAGAAAAUUGCCAUUUAUACACGCACCAUUUUACUUCUUGCAUUGCAAGUGUGUAUGUUGCCCUGUGUACCGGCAUUUCAUUUCAGUUGUUCCUGAGGUAUGAAUAAAGAUAAUUUACCACUGUA